rnacentral:rRNA from 1 species
GACGAACGCUGGCGGCGUGCUUAACACAUGCAAGUCGAACGGAAAGGCCCUGCUUUUGUGGGGUGCUCGAGUGGCGAACGGGUGAGUAACACGUGAGUAACCUGCCCUUGACUUUGGGAUAACUUCAGGAAACUGGGGCUAAUACCGGAUAGGAGCUCCUGCUGCAUGGUGGGGGUUGGAAAGUUUCGGCGGUUGGGGAUGGACUCGCGGCUUAUCCGCUUGUUGGUGGGGUAGUGGCUUACCAAGGCUUUGACGGGUAGCAGGCCUGAGAGGGUGACCGGCCACAUUGGGACUGAGAGACGGCCCAGACUCCUACGGGAGGCAGCAGUGGGGAAUAUUGCACAAUGGGCGGAAGCCUGAUGCAGCAACGCCGCGUGCGGGAUGACGGCCUUCGGGUUGUAAACCGCUUUCGCCUGUGACGAAGCGUGAGUGACGGUAAUGGGUAAAGAAGCACCGGCUAACUACGUG